rnacentral:misc_RNA from 1 species
GCAAUAUUAAAGUAAAUUACUUAGUGGUGCGAUGAUUGAAAUAAGUUAAAAUGACUACAAUGGUUCUAUCCAAUCAUUUAUUUGCUCUCAAAAGUCACAUAGAAAAGAAAAAGAAAACUACAGUAUACAAUAAUAAAACUACUAGUGAGAAAUACCAAACAUCCUUGAUCCUCUGCUAAAUAACAUCAAGUUUGGCAAUUCAAGUUAGCAGUAGUCUAGUUUGGUGAUCCUAAGAACAAAGAAUCAAUAACCCCAAGAGAAAAUGAAACAAAGAAAAUCUCUACAAAUUAUCUUAGGACUAAAAGGUUGAAGUUUCAAACAUGACAACGAAUCAAUAAAAAAAUGCAUUGCAAGUAUCAACAGCUCCUUCCCACCAAGAU